UAUAUUUGUUUAUUUAAUAUGGCA
rnacentral:tRNA from 2 species